UCCCCCAUGAUGUAACGGCAGCAUCCUUCACUGUUAAUGAAGUCGUCCUGGUUCAAAUCCAGGUGGGGGAG
rnacentral:tRNA from 1 species